CAGCCGCCGCGGUAAUACGAAGGGGGCUAGCGUUGCUCGGAAUCACUGGGCGUAAAGGGUGCGUAGGCGGGUCUUUAGGUCAGGGGUGAAAUCCUGGAGCUCAACUCCAGAACUGCCUUUGAUACUGAAGAUCUUGAGUUCGGGAGAGGUGAGUGGAACUGCGAGUGUAGAGGUGAAAUUCGUAGAUAUUCGCAAGAACACCAGUGGCGAAGGCGGCUCACUGGCCCGAUACUGACGCUGAGGCACGAAAGCGUGGGGAGCAAACAGGAUUAGAUACCCCCGUAGUCCCUGUCUCUUAUAC
rnacentral:rRNA from 1 species